CUGCGAGUGAAGCGGGAAAAGCUCAAAUUUAAAAUCUGGCGGUUGCACCGUCCGAGUUGUAAUCUGGAGAAGCGUUUUCUGUGUUGGACCCGUGUACAAGUCCCUUGGAACGGGGCGUCAUAGAGGGGUGAGAAUCCCGUCCAUGACACGGACUGCCAAUGCUUUGUGAUACGCUCUCGAAGAGUCGAGUUGUUUGGGAAUGCAGCUCAAAAUGGGUGGUAAAUUUCCAUCUAAAGCUAAAUAUUGGCGAGAGACCGAUAGCGAACAAGUACCGUGAGGGAAAGAUGAAAAGCACUUUGGAAAGAGAGUUAAACAGUACGUGAAAUUGUUGAAAGGGAAACGCUUGGAGUCAGUCGCGUCUGUCGAGACUCAGCCUUGCCUUCGGGCUUGGUGUACUUCUCGGCCUGACGGGCCAACAUCGAUUUCGAACGGCGGAUAAAGGUCUGGGGAAGGUGGCACCUUCGGGUGUGUUAUAGCCCCUCUCCGUAUACGUCGUCUGGGAUCGAGGACCGCAGCACGCCCUUGUGGCUGGGGCCCUUUGCCCACAUAACGUGCUUAGGAUGUUGGCGUAAUGGCUUUAAGCGACCCGUCUUGAAACACGGACCAAGGAGUCUAACAUGCCCGCGAGUGUUAGGGUGUAAAACCCUUGCGCGUAAUGAAAGUGAAAGUUGGGGACCUCUGUCGAGGAGGGCACCGACGCCCGGCCCUGAACUCUUGUGACGGUGCUGCGGUAGAGCGUGUAUGUUGGGACCCGAAAGAUGGUGAACUAUGCCUGAAUAGGGCGAAGCCAGAGGAAACUCUGGUGGAGGCUCGUAGCGAUUCUGACGUGCAAAUCGAUCGUCAAAUUUGGGUAUAGGGGCGAAAGACUAAUCGAACCAUCUAGUAGCUGGUUCCUGCCGAAGUUUCCCUCAGGAUAGCAGAAACUCGUAUCAGAUUUAUGUGGUAAAGCGAAUGAUUAGAGGCCUUGGGGUUGAAACAACCUUAACCUAUUCCUCAAACUUUAAAUAUGUAAGAACGGGCCGUCUC
rnacentral:rRNA from 1 species